ACCGCAUCCCACAAAAGUGUUUCGUUUCACGUAGACGUUUCUUGGAGCGUAGAAGUUGUCAGGUUGAUUGUUGUAUUCCACGAUAACAGCUCCGAAUAAGACGUCCUAUUGUUAAAAAGGAAACCGCUAUAUCCGCAAUAUGGUGAUAUCACAACGCCCGCUGUUCUACAACUAUUGUACAUUGAAACAAAAUACUCGUGUUUUAUACCGACUUUUGGGAAGGAGGUUCGAAACUUCCGGGAUUUUUAAAUUGAGUGUGACGUCAUCUUGACACCUGUAAAAGAACUCGAGUACUCGAUUGACUUUCGAACCUCCUCGAAAUAAAACGCUUUUCCGCCUUUUGUACUAUUGUUACCACCCGCAAAAUACCGUUCAGGCAUUGUUACGUAAAAAUUUUGCACUUAGAUGCCCUAUGUUACGUCAUAAUGUGUAAUAUUAGCUAAUUAUGGUCUAAGCUAUGUCCUUUACACCCUGAAAGAUAUGACACAGCGAUUGUUCUCUGAUUACUGAAGCUAAUUAAGGUGAUUUCAUGCCACGUAAUAUCACGUCUGUAUUAAAUUUGUAUGAUGAUGCAUAUUUUUAAUUACCAUUAACACAUUUGUAUUAGCAUAGGAUAUCCUAUCUACGCAUUAAGUACGAUUUCAGAUAUUAUUUUGACUUAUUUGGAUAAAAUGCAGUUUUUGGCUAUAUGAGAUUACUCAUUUUUAUCUUUUAUUCAAAUUUAAUCGCGUUUUAACGCUUUCGGUCAUAUUACUAAGUUAUUUUACUUUUUAAUAAUGAUAUCAUUCUGAAAAUGAUUGCCUAACAUAGGGUCAAAUAAUGCGUUAGUAAUACAGCGCAUGAACUAAGCAUA